GGGAACCUUUAAAACCCAUACAAUCUCUGUUGCAAAUCCUUUGGAAAUGCAACUCUGUUGGCAGUUGGGGAAAUUUGAACAUGGUCCUAGGCAUGAUGGUGUUGGACCUAAUGCAGCUGUUGGUCCUACCUCUGAAAGAAUUCAAUUUUAUAAAUUAUUGUUACCACUAAGAUAAUUAAUAAUAUUUAAAAGAAACAUGCAAUCCAUUACCAAUUACAUUCCAUCAAGUCUAGUAAAUAUUAUGAGAAUAUAUUUUACCUAAAAUCAAUAACAAACCGAAGCAUAAAAUCACCAAAAGCAAGCAGGGGCGUUGAAUGGCACACAGAAUUUGGCGAGUCGUCAUUGUCUCAAUUGAUAAACUAUGAAAAAACUGAAAUUUCUGAAUUGAUAGGCUGUGAAGAAAAGUUGACAGGUUUUAUACAGGAUUUCCAUCUAUACAUAUUUGGCAUGUUCCUGUGAGAAAAGGAAGAAGAAAUGUGCAUCAUCGUCCUUAAAAGAAAAGUUAACAGGUACAAAAUCUGUAAAUUUAUUUCAUUAACAAAUUGGAUUAUGAGAUACUAUUUUUAUUCUCAGGUUUGGAUUUUCU
rnacentral:lncRNA from 1 species